rnacentral:rRNA from 17 species
UUAAUUGAAGAGUUUGAUCAUGGCUCAGAUUGAACGCUGGCGGCAGGCCUAACACAUGCAAGUCGAGCGGAAACAGGAAGGUAGCUUGCUACCUUUGCUGUCGAGCGGCGGACGGGUGAGUAAUGCCUAGAUAUCUGCCUAGUCGUGGGGGAUAACAGUUGGAAACGACUGCUAAUACCGCAUACGCCCUACGGGGGAAAGGAGGGGACCUUCGGGCCUUUCGCGAUUAGAUGAGUCUAGGUGGGAUUAGCUAGUAGGUGAGGUAAUAGCUCACCUGGCGACGAUCCUAGCUGUUCUGAGAGGAUGAUCAGCCACACUGGGACUGAGACACGGCCCAGACUCCUACGGGAGGCAGCAGUGGGGAAUAUUGCACAAUGGGCGCAAGCCUGAUGCAGCAACGCCGCGUGAGGGACGACGGCCUUCGGGUUGUAAAGCACUUUCAGCGAGGAGGAAAGGUUGUAGUUUAAUAAACUAUAGCUGUGACGUUACUCAGAAGAAGCACCCUAACUGUGCCAGCAGCCGCGGUAAUACGUAGGGCGCAAGCGUUAUCCGGAAUUAUUGGGCGUAAAGCGUACGCAGGCGGUUUGUUAAGCAAGAUGUGAAAUCCCGGGCUCAAUGAAUUGCAUUUUGAACUGGCAAACUAGAGUCUUGUAGAGGGGGGUAGAAUUUCAGGUGUAGCGGUGAAAUGCGUAGAGAUCUGAAGGAAUACCGGUGGCGAAGGCGGCCCCCUGGACAAAGACUGACGCUCAGGUACGAAAGGGUGGGGAGCAAACAGGCUUAGAUACCCUGGUAGUCCACCCCGUAAACGAUGUCUACUCGGAGUUUGGUAACUUAGUUACUGGGCUCCCAAGCUAACGCAUUAAGUAGACCUGGGGAGUACGGCCGCAAGGCUAAAACUCAAAGGAAUUGACGGGGACCCGCACAAGCGGCGGAGCAUGCGGAUUAAUUCGAUGCAACGCGAAGAACCUUACCUACUCUUGACAUCCACAGAACUCGCUAGAGAUAGCUUGGUGCCUUCGGGAACUGUGAGACAGGUGGUGCAUGGUUGUCGUCAGCUCGUGUCGUGAGAUGUUGGGUUAAGUCCCGCAACGAGCGCAACCCUCGUUCUAUGUUGCCAGCACGUAAUGGUGGGAACUCAUGGGAUACUGCCGGGGUCAACUCGGAGGAAGGUGGGGAUGACGUCAAAUCAUCAUGCCCCUUAUGUCUUGGGCUUCACGCAUGCUACAAUGGCCGGUACAAAGGGCUGCAAUACCGCGAGGUGGAGCGAAUCCCAAAAAGCCGGUCCCAGUUCGGAUUGAGGUCUGCAACUCGACCUCAUGAAGUCGGAGUCGCUAGUAAUCGCAGAUCAGCAACGCUGCGGUGAAUACGUUCCCGGGUCUUGUACACACCGCCCGUCACACCAUGGGAGUGGGCUGCACCAGAAGUAGAUAGCUUAACCCUUCGGGGAGGGCGUUUACCACGGUGUGGUUCAUGACUGGGGUGAAGUCGUAACAAGGUAGCCCUAGGGGCCAGGCUGGAUCACCUCCUUA